rnacentral:rRNA from 1 species
UACGUAGGGUGCGAGCGUUGUCCGGAAUUACUGGGCGUAAAGAGCUCGUAGGUGGUUUGUCGCGUUGUUCGUGAAAACUCACAGCUCAACUGUGGGCGUGCGGGCGAUACGGGCAGACUGGAGUACUGCAGGGGAGACUGGAAUUCCUGGUGUAGCGGUGGAAUGCGCAGAUAUCAGGAGGAACACCAGUGGCGAAGGCGACUUCCUGGCCUGUUCUUGACGCUGAGGCGCGAAAGCUAGGGGAGCAAACAGG